AAUGCGGGGUGCUACCAUGCAAGUCGAGCGGGGAGGCCCUUCGGGGUCUUCUAGCGGCGGACGGGUGAGUAACGCGUGAGCAACCUUUCCUUCACAGGGGGAUAACGCAGCGAAAGCUGUGCUAAUACCGCAUGAGACUACAGAGCUACAUGGCUUAGGAGUCAAAGGAGCAAUCCGGUGAAGGGUGGGCUCGCGUCUGAUUAGCUAGUUGGUGAGGUAACGGCUCACCAAGGCGACGAUCAGUAGCCGACCUGAGAGGGUGAUCGGCCACACUGGGACUGAGACACGGCCCAGACUCCUACGGGAGGCAGCAGUGGGGAAUAUUGGGCAAUGGGGGAAACCCUGACCCAGCAACGCCGCGUGAGGGAAGAAGGUUUUCGGAUUGUAAACCUCUGUCCUUGGUGAAGAGAAGAAGACGGUAGCCAAGGAGGAAGCCCCGGCUAACUACGUGCCAGCAGCCGCGGUAAUACGUAGGGGGCGAGCGUUGUCCGGAAUGAUUGGGCGUAAAGGGCGCGUAGGCGGCCUGUUAAGUCUGGAGUGAAAGUCCCGCUUUUAAGGUGGGAAUUGCUUUGGAAACUGGCGGGCUUGAGUGCAGGAGAGGUUAGUGGAAUUCCCGGUGUAGCGGUGAAAUGCGUAGAGAUCGGGAGGAACACCAGUGGCGAAGGCGACUAACUGGACUGUAACUGACGCUGAGGCGCGAAAGUGUGGGGAGCAAACAGGAUUAGAUACCCUGGUAGUCCACACGGUAAACGAUGAAUGCUAGGUGUAGGGGGUAUCGACCCCUUCUGUGCCGGAGUAAACACAAUAAGCAUUCCGCCUG
rnacentral:rRNA from 1 species